rnacentral:rRNA from 1 species
UACGUAGGGUGCGAGCGUUGUCCGGAAUUAUUGGGCGUAAAGAGCUCGUAGGCGGUUUGUCGCGUCUGCUGUGAAAACUCAGGGCUUAACCCUGAGCUUGCAGUGGGUACGGGCAGACUAGAGUGCGGUAGGGGAGACUGGAAUUCCUGGUGUAGCGGUGAAAUGCGCAGAUAGUCAGGGAGGGAACACCCGGUGGCGGAAGGCGGGUCUCUGGGC